rnacentral:lncRNA from 1 species
UAUCUUAUACAGUCAUGUUUCAUAUAUAUUAUGAAUAAAAGCACAACACACAUCUCUGACUGAUCAUUCAUUUGGUUUUAUUCAUGUCAAGGCAAACUACACUCUAGCUGUAAUGGCAUUAUACAAUGCCAUUGUAUAAUAGCUUACAGAGGAUGUUAUGAAAAGAGUUCACUAUUCAUAUCCGGAACACGGCUGCAUUACGACACCAGCGAAAUUGAUGAGCAGCUCUACUAUCUCGGUUGUAGCUCGGCGGACGAGAGUAUUUCACUUCUUAUUUCUGCAUUUCUUCCGAAUCUAUCUCCCCACUCAGCUAUGCAGGUGUGUAAGGGUGGAAGUUCUCAAUGGGAGCAGAGACUAUCGCACAGUGCCAGUAGAGAGACACCGAUGAAGUGUCAGUCAUGCUGGUGGCUGGCAGCGACGGCAGAGCAGAGCGUGACAUGCCAGUGUUUUUUCCUGAGGGGAUGUGUGUUUUCUUGGUCUUGGAUCCACGGAGUGAUAGCAGAAUGUUCCAUUUAUUCUAUGGUUCUUUCCUUCCCUUCUUAUUUCUGCCACCAUGGCAUGAUCCAGAGCAGGGCGGUGUAACUGGGUGAUUCAACAUCACUGUUAUAGUGAUAGGAAGAGACACGGAGGAUUUUGCAACAAGUGCAAGUAGGAAAACCGUAAAGGUUAUUUUCCCCUUCAUAAUCAACGCAGUUCUCUCUGGCAGUGUUCAAGCCUUAGCAGCAGUCAAUCUGAGUGUUUCUGACUUCUGGCUGAUUUGUUCUUCUUCUUCUGAUGAUGACAGUUGGCAGCUCUCUUCUGGUUUCUUCGGACAGCUCAGUGUCAGUGAGUAGAGAGGCAGUGCUGGUUUUAUAGUGACUUGUAUUUCCAUUCACUUACAAAAGUGAGACAUACAUUUCUCCUGUAGAU